rnacentral:lncRNA from 1 species
GUUUUUUAGCUUUUGAUUUUUACACAUCCAUGCGCAUGGUCUCCAUGCACUGAAAAGCUGAGAGGCUCAAUUAUCAGUAAUUAUAAUGCUUGUAUAAUUAAAAUCAUAAAUUAUCUUUGUUGAUAAUUAAAACAUGAAUAAUUUGCUGAGCUCACAUCAUUUUUUGUAGUUCUCAUUUUACUAUCAAUUGUUUGUAAACUAUUUAAUUUCUAACUCCUACAAGAUCCUACGAUCUGGCUUGUAUUAUUCUCCCACACUGCCUUUCCUUCACUUUAUUUCGCUUACAUGCAGUUCAUGAAACCAUUGUUCUAGCAUUGAGAAUCAUAAUUUUAGGUCCCUGCAUUAAAAGGAAAAGUGAUAUUGCAAACAGAAUUUUUGGUGUUUCUAGUAGAGCGUAUGGAAAUUUUUUUAGACUGAAUUAUUUCUCCCACCCCAAUCCUGAGCUACCUUACCUUCUCAGUUCCUUUUUUUCUCAUGAUUAUUUUAAAAAAUUAUUUUCCUCCCAUUGUUUUUCACAAUGUCUAGGUCAGCUUCUUUAGCAUUUUCCAUCUAAUUCUGGGCAUUUUUAAUACGGAAUUCUUGUUUCUUUGGUGGGUUUAGUUAUGCUUCCCUUGUGUCCAUGAACACCAUGUUUUUCAGUCUCCAUAUGUGCUUGUUAAUUGUGUAACAUUCAGGAGUAUUUCACUAGGUGAUUAAUUCAUUGCCAUUUCAGCAAACAUUUUUUCUUUGCAUACCAAAACAAGUUUUUUUGUUUGCUUGUUUAAAAUUCAAAUAUGGCAAAAUAAUCUAAAGAAGCUCUGUAUGAAAACACUCAUAUUCAAUAUUCUAUCAAGGUAUGAGUUGGUAAAAAGUUCUGCUCAGAUGAGCAAAAAGAACAGAAUUCUUAUAUGAACUUCAGGGUGAAUUUUGAAACAUAUUCUUCUAAGCUUUUUAUUCUGGGUUUGUUGUUAUUUUAUUUUCAUAUGCAUCUAAAAACAAUUUUGAAGUUGGACCUAGUUUAUAUAGCUUGUUUAUUAGAGUCAACUACAAAUUUUGGAUAUACUAUUUAAAGGACUUUAUUUUUUUACCACAUGCUUUCUAUUUGUAACUGAAGUAUGAAGAUUUCUGGAUUUAGCAAGAAGGGACAAUGAACACUUGUUCAUUUUGGGGAUGGCUGGGUGGCUCAGUUGGUUCAACUGAUUCUUGGUUUUGACUUAGGUCAUGAUCUCAGGGUUGUGAGAUCGAGCCCCGAGUUGGGCUCCAUGCUCAGCAUGGAGUCAAUACUUGAGAUUCUCUCUCCCUCUUCCUCUGCUCCUCCUUCUGCUCUCUCUCUCUCUCAAAUAAAUCUUUAAAUAAAUGUUUAUUUUCUAAGCAUUAGAUAUAAUUAUAUUUUGAUUUGUAUUCUAUUUUUUGAUAUAUUUAUGUAUCAAAAUAUAUUUAAUUCAUACCAUCUUCUCAACCCUCGAAAUUAGGUUUGUUAGAUAUGCACCUUUUUACAGAAUAAGACUAUAACAGGUUAAGGGCUUUGCCUAAAUAUAUAUCUAUCUUUUGAGUAAAUGCAGGAUAGAAAGUUGAACCGUGUCUUUUGGACUCCUGACCUGCUUUUUUUUCCCAUUGUGCUGCUUAAGCCAUCCUAUUUGACCUGCUUUUUUUUCCCCAUUGUGCUGCUUAAGCCAUCCUAUUUGGUAAACUUUGUAGAUUGAAUGCAUAUUUACCUGGAAACACUUAUACUAUCCUUGCUUGAUAAAUCCUUUAUUUCCAGAAUGAAAUCUAUUUCUCCUGUGUCAUACUUUGCAAAAUCAUGUUCGUAAAUUUAGUUUGAAGAGUUUUAAUGAUUCCCACAGUAGAUAAUUCUUAGUAAACUGGACAUAAUAACUGGUGGGAUGAAUCAUUUUGCACAAUAUAUGUUGUUAUAGCAAUAUCUAAGUCAUUAAAAAUACCAAUAAUGUGUUUAUAGAGUCUGUGUGUCAAUAUUCCAUUAAUUCUUCCUUUCUUUAUGUUCAUAUUUUAUUUUGGAAGCAUCAUUUGCUUGUUCCCUAAAAAUUUAAUUCCAGAGCACAGAACACACAAUGCAAGUUUGUUAAAUUAUUAAGUUGUAUGCAAGAAAUUAUAACUUUGAGGGGAACACUCCAACAAUAUUUCAUGAUCCAAGAAUCUGAGGAUGAGUUAAUGAAAUUAUUAGGAUAACAUCUAUCGAGAAAAUUCUUGCUGUAUUAAAUGGUCACUUCAUGUAGUUAACUCAAAACCUACAACAGGUAUCUGGCAACUGUAAAACUAGUUUCUAUUUAUCUUAGAGAUACCAUCUUCCUCUGUCCCCAUUUUAUCUAGAUGGACUUUUUUUUUUUUUUCUCCAGAUUUUUCCUUUUGAUUCUAUUUCAGGAAAAAAAAAAAUCACUUCUAAGGAAAGAUCCCUAACAAAGGGGAGAAUGGUUGCUAUUAGGAAUUUGCUCUAUAAAUGUAUAAAAACAACCUGUACUUGGUAUCUAUUUGCUUAAUUCGUCAAGGAUAUUUACCCCAAGAACAUACUUUAAUAAAAGUCUUGAUAAACUCAUGUGUCACAGUAAAAUCUUUCAUGAACAGGGACCUUUGUGCAUUUGUAGUCAGUGACAUGUUAGAUUCAGCCAAACUGACAUCCAUAUAUACUUUGCUUUGUCUUUGUGAUAGGGCAAGCUUCAGUAGCUGCAGUGAUUGCAUCAAUAAACAUAAGGCCCCUUCUUUGUAAUAAUGAUAAAAAUGAGAUCUCAAACUACUUAGAUAUGAUUCAGGUAUAUAAAUUCCUAUGUAGAAGAUGGACAGUAGGAUAUUCCCAUGUAUUUGCUAAAAUUUACAUUUGAUUUGAAGCCUCUUAUUUAAAAGCACUUCCCUCCAAAUAUUUUAAACUACUGAUUGAUUAAUAUUUCCUAGAAUGAAUAACUCCCUGUUGCAGAGAAAUUUUUGAAAAUAUUUACUACUUAUAUUCUCCAACAAAUAUCUCUUUCUCAUCUCAUUGGUAUGUUUGGGCAAAUAUUAAAAGUAAGAUUAUUGGGAUAAAAUUUAUACAUAAUGACAUGUUGCUAAGAAGACAGAUAAAAGACAUUGCUCGGCAAUGGCCACACCUAGCUAACUUUUGCAAGAAUACUUUAGGAGUUGGAUUUAGCGGUUAAUCCGUAGAGUUAUUUUUUAAAUACAAAUUGUAUCUUGAGCUGUAUUUUUAUGAUUUUUAGGUGAAAAAAUGUAGCUGAUUUGUUUGUUCUGUAGGUACUUUAAAGACCAUUGAACAAAUGAUCUUACUGUCACAUAGUCUAUCAACUAUAAUUACUAUGACAGGGAAAUGAAGAGAAAGGGUAGAUUUGCUUGACACCUAAGAUGAUCCAGUCAGCUGUUUUUACGUGACCUAAAUCAUGGCUGUACAUAUUUCAUUUUUCAAAAAAUCAUUAUGAUAUGAAAUAAAUGCCAGUAAAAGUUUUAAAAUGUAAGACAGAAUGCACUUCUUCUUUGCCUUCUUACAGAAGAAUGUACUUAAAGUGAUUGUGAUUUGAUCUUGAAAUAUUUAUUUCUAUGAUUUUUGCAUAUACAGUAGUUCUGAACAUGGCAAAUAAAAUAUGGAAAAAAUUAACAAACUGAAAGGACUAGCAUUUUCAUGCAAAUACAUAUUUUUAUUUUUAACUAAACAUAAUAUAGAUUUAUUUAAUUCAGGAAUACGUUAUGUUGAUUAUUUGAAAAGUAUAUUCAGUUCAAUAUGUUCCUACUUCAUUUUUUCCUACUACUACUCUUUUAAGCAAACUUGUUUGACUACUGAAUCAUUUACCACUCAAUUUUCAUUUAUACUGUCUCUAUUAAUUGUAGUUUCUGUUUCUCUGCACAACUAAUUUGAAACUAAAUGUUGAAUUUCUUCAAGGAGUACAUAUUUUGCCUGCGGUUUUGAAAAUAUUUUCAAAUUCAUCUCUUUGUUACUAGAAUGUGGACAAGGAUGUUAUCUUAGUUAUAAUACCAGCUUUAAUGCCUAGCAAAGUGCCAUGCACAGAAUGAUUCCUUUAUCGAAAUAAAUGGAUGGAUCUAGAUUAUUAAAUUAAUACUGCAGUAUCCUAUGAUGCAAGCUGACUGGAUAUUAGAGGAAUUUUCUGACUAAUUUUCAAAGUAAGAUACAGAAAACAAAUAACCAUAGCAUUUCUGUUAUUAAAAAUUGAUACUUUAUUUUGAGGAUUUCACUUUUAUUCCUUCAGUAAACACUCUAUGCAAGUUCUGAAAUAUGCAGGAGCUAAAUUUCAUGGUACAUAUUAACUAGCUUAUUUACAAAAUCAAAAAUGCUCUCUUAGGCUUCCUAGAAAUAAAUGUUGACAAUCAUGUUAUUGACCAAAGGUGCUACUUAUUUUCUAGUAUUUAUAUUCAUCAUAAGUGCUCUUGUCUACUAAGCUUUAGUUAUUUUUUGGGUGGGGGUAAGGGAAGGAGCACACAAAAUUAAAAUAUCUUUCUGUCUGAAUUAUGCAAUUUAGCAUUGUAUAUGUUCCUUUGUAGUCUAUUCUUAUUGUAUUUUAAUUAUUAUUUCUUAUUGCUCACUAACUUUUUUUGCAGGCCUAUGCUAUUUCUUGGAAAGUAUGUGCAUAUAUAUUUAUACAAUAUGCAAGAAAAACCUGUAUUGUGCAUUAAAUUAAAAUUAAAAUG